rnacentral:rRNA from 1 species
CCUACGGGCGGCUGCAGUGGGGAAUAUUGGACAAUGGGGGCAACCCUGAUCCAGCCAUGCCGCGUGUGUGAAGAAGGCCCUCGGGUUGGAAAGCACUUUCAGUGAGGAAGAACGCCUGGUGGUUAAUACCCAUCAGGAAAGACAUCACUCACAGAAGAAGCACCGGCUAACUCCGUGCCAGCAGCCGCGGUAAUACGGAGGGUGCGAGCGUUAAUCGGAAUUACUGGGCGUAAAGCGCGCGUAGGUGGCUUGAUAAGCCGGUUGUGAAAGCCCCGGGCUCAACCUGGGAACGGCAUCCGGAACUGUCAAGCUAGAGUGCAGGAGAGGAAGGUAGAAUUCCCGGUGUAGCGGUGAAAUGCGUAGAGAUCGGGAGGAAUACCAGUGGCGAAGGCGGCCUUCUGGACUGACACUGACACUGAGGUGCGAAAGCGUGGGUAGCAAACAGGAUUAGAUACCCCAGUAGUC